AGAUGAGGGGGAAUCAGAAGCACAACACCCACGGUGCACGAUGUCCGAAGGAGAAGAAGAGGAGAGGAAAAAGGAGGCCGCGCCGGCGCGUUGGGCUUCAUCACUGCCAUCGCGUCGCCGUCACCGGCCCUACGAGUGGCCAUCCGCACUGCUGCCGCCGUUCUGCGACGAGAGGAUGUUCGCAGAGGGUAGCGUCGGAGAGAGGGAGAGGCUGAGCGUGGGGCUUUCGCCGUCCUCCUCGUCGCGGACUAGCUCGCCGCCGCCGCUGUGAUGCUCACGCCGUCGUCCUCCUCACCGCGAAGUCUGAGUCCUCGCCAUCCAUGGAGGGCCGAAGAGAGAAGCUCGAGCAGAAGAGAGAGAGAGAACGUCAGAAAAGGGGGUCCCUAUUCUGCGGCCGUGCCUCCGCCGUCGCGGGUCCUCCGCUGCCCUUCCACCAUCGCCGAAGUCCUCCAUCACCGUGGCUUGCUGUUCGAAGCUGCUGCCUCUCCACUACUGGAGGUCUGCCCCGAUCCGGUUUGAAGGAGAGGACGCCAUUGAGUGGGGGAAACGCCUCUGUCACGCUCCUCGGUCACUGGUGGUGGAGCCGCGUCGCCGUCACCCCUGGGUUGCUGUUCUUACCACCGCUGCUAAAACCACCACCGAGGCUUUUGCCGUUUCUGCUGCCGGAGAAUGCAGCUUAGCCACCGGAAAACCACUGCCGGUAAGGGUCCUUGCAUUUGGUCUUCAUUCCUUUCUAUUCAUGGGUCUUUAUCGUCAUGACGUUGUUGUGCAGUCGCGGUUGUCGGAGUCUUAUAUUGCCGCUGCCGCUUGAGGCGGCUGACGCAGCCGCUACCAGGUUGAUAUGGAGCUGCGGCUAUUUUGUUAAUUCAGAGUUAGAAUCCGGUUUGCUUAUGCCGCUUGUAGCUGUUUCUGAUUUUGUAACAAGUAGAGCCGAGGUUUUGGUUGCCGGUGAUUUUGAGUUGAGGCGGAAACGGGCUUGAUGAGGCGUUUGGAUUAUGGAAUUGCGUUUUGAGGAUGUGGGCGCAGAAGUUACGAAGAGCUUAUUUAAUUGUUGUUGUGAUG